UACGGAGGGUGCAAGCGUUAUCCGGAAUUACUGGGUUUAAAGGGUGCGUAGGCGGCUUCAUAAGUCAGGGGUGAAAGCCUAUCGCUUAACGAUAGAAUUGCCUUUGAUACUGUAAAGCUUGAAAGGGGUUGAGGUCAGCAGAAUGUGGCAUGUAGCGGUGAAAUGCGUAGAUAUCAGGAGGAACACCGGUGGCGAAGGCGGCUUCCUGGACCAAUACUGACGCUGAGGCGCGAAGGCGUGGGGAGCAAACAGG
rnacentral:rRNA from 1 species